rnacentral:rRNA from 1 species
GACGAACGCUGGCGGCGUGCCUAACACAUGCAAGUCGAGCGAAUGAAGUUCCUUCGGGAAUGGAUUUAGCGGCGGACGGGUGAGUAACACGUGGGCAACCUGCCUCAUAGAGGGGAAUAGCCUCCCGAAAGGGAGAUUAAUACCGCAUAAGAUUGUAGUACCGCAUGAUACAGCAAUUAAAGGAGCAAUCCGCUAUGAGAUGGGCCCGCGGCGCAUUAGCUAGUUGGUGAGGUAAUGGCUCACCAAGGCGACGAUGCGUAGCCGACCUGAGAGGGUGAUCGGCCACAUUGGGACUGAGACACGGCCCAGACUCCUACGGGAGGCAGCAGUGGGGAAUAUUGCACAAUGGGGGAAACCCCGAUGCAGCAACGCCGCGUGAGUGAUGUCGGCCUUCGGGUUGUAAAGCUCUGUCUUCAGGGACGAUAAUGACGGUACCUGAGGAGGAAGCCACGGCUAACUACGUG